CUCAUCCACCUCAGGGCAGCACUCAUCCCACCGCUCACCUACUCACCUCGGAACUGCUUGGACGGCAACACGUUGGUCCCUGGCACUGCCAAGGCAGUGCGCGGGAGAACAACAGCCUGGCCUCAAACUCAACAAUCCUCUUGUCUCAACUAUAAUAAAAAUGCAUUGUAUAUUUAAAAUUUGCUAGAAAACACUAUGUGGAAAUUACAGGGAAGACAAUGCCUUCCAGAACUUCUGGGACAGGGUUCUUUCCCAUCUUGUGUGUGCUCAUCAGGAACCUUGGAUGAUUAAGUCUCUCAGAUAGCAAAAAGACUUGACCAAUGGAUGGAAGAAGAAAGGCAGGGAGGCAGAGACAGAAGGAGGAACGAAAGAGUUGGGUUCCUAAGUACUGCAGGAGGCAGCACAAAGCCAACCCCCAAGCUGGAAGGAUCACCACAGGCUCCACAGUAAUAGUUACUGACCUGAGGACCAGUGGAACAGAUCAGAGGGUGCAGAAACAACUACAGACACACUCAGCCACUUUCUCU